GCCCGAAUAGCUCAGUCGGUAGAGCAGGGGAUUGAAAAUCCCCGUGUCCCUGGUUCGAUUCCGGGUUCGGGNA
rnacentral:tRNA from 13 species